AGAACCCCGAAUUCUGGAAAAGUAAGAAGACAACAAUGUUUCAACUUUUUUUGUUAUGGUAGGAGGAGAUUUUGAAGAAAAAUAUCAUAGAAAGAGAGAAAAUCAGAAGUGGAGAGUAAAGUAGAAGAUGGUCAAGGUGCAGUUUCUUGUAAGGACUUUCCUGUUUCCUUUUAUGAGAAAAUGUGCUAAGAAAUUACCAAGUAGACUAUUUUGUUUCUGAGAUUACUCCAAAUUUUACACAGAUGAUAAGUAGGUAGUGAAAAAAAUCCAAUUAGAAAAUGGGUGAAAGACCUGCCGAGACUUUUCACCAAAGAGGAUAUACAGAUGGUGAAUAAGGAGGGAAGAUUCGCCCUGAGCUAACAUCUGUGCCAAUCUUCCUCUAUUUUGUACGCGAGUUGCCGCAUAGCAUGGCUGCCGAUGAGUGGUGCAGGUCCGUGCCUGGGAACUGAGUCUGGGAUGCUGGAGUGGAGCAUGCUAACUUAACCACUAGGCUAUGGGGACAGUGCCUUACCAUUUUUAAGUGUGCAGUUUGGUAGUGCUAAGUACAUUCACAUUGUUGCGCAACCAACUUCCAGAACUCUUUUCAUCUGCAAAACUGAAACUCUAUACUCAUUAAAUAGUAACAUACUCUUCCUUUUUUCAUUCCAGGCCCUGACAACCUCCAUUCUACUUUCUGUAUCUAUGAAUUUGAUUACUCGAGAUACUUCAUCUAAGUGGAAUCACACAGUAUUUUUUUUGUGACUGGCUUAUUUUACUUAGCAUAAUGUUCUCAAGGUUCGUCCAUGUUGUAGCAUGUGCCAGAAUUUCUUUUCUUUUUAAGGCUGAAUAAUAUUCCAUUGUAUGUGUGUUUUGUUGAUCCAUUCAUCAGUUGCUUCAUACUUGGGUUGCUUCCACCUUUUGGCUACUGUGAAUAAUGCUGCUUUGAACAUGAGUGUACAAAUAUCUCUUCGAGACCCAGAGGUGGAAUUGCUAGAUCGUAUAAUAAUUCUAUUUUUAAUUAUUUGAGGAACUGCCAUACUGUUUUCCAUAGCAACUUAACCAUUUUACAUUCCCAUCAACAGUUUACAGGGUUUCAAUUUCUCUACACCCUUGCCAACACGUUUUUUUUUAAUAGUAGCCACCGCUGUGAUUUUGAUUUUGAUUUCCUUAAUGAUUAGUGAUGUUGAGCAUCUUUUCAUGUGCUUGUUGGCCAUUUGUAUAUCAUCUUUGGAGAAAUGCCUAUUCAAACCUUUGCCCAUUUUUUUAAUUGAGGUUUCUUUUUUGUUGUUGUUAUUGAGUUGUAGGAGUUCUUUAUAUAUUCUAAAUAUUGACCCUUUAUCAGAUAUAUGAUUUGCCAAUAAUUUCUCUCAUGUUGUAGGGUUUUUUACUCUGUUGAUUGUGUCCUUUGGUGCACAGAAGUUUUUAAUUUUGAUGUAGUACAAUUUACCUAGUUUUACUUUUGUUACCUGUGCUUUUAGUGUCAUAUCCAAGAAAUAAUUGCCAAAUCCAAUGUCAUGAAGCUUUUGUCCUAUGAUUUCUUCUAAGAGUUUUAUCUCUUAUGUUUAGGGCUUUGAUUUGUUUUGAGUUAAUUUUUGUUUAUGGUGUAAUGUAACGGUCCAACUUCCUUCUUUUGUAUAUGGAUAUCCAAUUUUCCCAAUACCAUUUGUUGAACUUCCCAUUAUUUCUUAAAUGGCAUUAUUUGACUCUGUAACCUACAAGACAUUAAAAUACAAAAAGCACUUAAGGUGCAUUAAAAUCUAUGAACCAGUAAGAAUCAUGGUGAUGCAACUGUAAGCCAAAUGAAUUUCUUCUGAGGAGAAAAGGCUGUGGCCAGCCUGUGAGGCAAAAGUACUAAGCAGGAAAUGAAACUAUAAAAUAAAAGGUCAGUCUUUACCUAAAAGCAGCUUAGAGAGUAUUUCCAGUGACACAGCAGCCUCUCAAUACACCAUAUAUCAUCUCUAUACAUUAAAGGUACUAUAUAUUGUCCAAGAAAGAUUAACCUAACAACCAAAUACAAACAAGAAAAGAUGCAUCUUAAUUAUCUAAUUACCGUUCAGGAUCCCAGUGAUUUUGGAACCUAGUGAAACAUCUCAGAUUAAUGUUGCUAUAAGUUGGUUUUGGUUAUAUUACUAGGUGCUUCAUUCCCAUUGAGUCAUUAUAAUCUGUUAAUUAAAAGGAUAUCUACUUACAGCUUCUUUUCAAAGUCUUAGUGAACUUUUGUUCCAGGACUGUCUCUAGGAUUAAGAUGCUUUCUGCUUUUAGUUUCAUUUGUUUCCACAACAUUAACUGUACAUAUAGCAUAACCGAUGUCUCUAAUAGAAAAAGUUAAAUUCUGUUUAGAAUAGUGUUUAAUAAAAUUGAAUAUACGUAUAAAGUUUUUAGAGAUGUUUAUUUUGAAAUUUUACAAUAAAAAUUCUGC
rnacentral:lncRNA from 1 species